rnacentral:tRNA from 1 species
GAAUUUGAAGCGAUUUAAUUGCAAUUAGUUUCGACCUAAUAUUAGGUAAAUUAUACCCUUAUUCU